UCCGGGUUGAUCCAACCCGGUCCUGACUGGAAAUUGGAGUGGUAAUAACCCAAGCGGGUUGUGGUAGCAAUACAAGGGGGACGGCUCAGUAACACGUAGUCAACCUAACCUAUGGACGUGGAUAACCUCGGGAAACUGAGAAUAAACCGCGAUAGAUCAUUAUGCCUGGAAUGGCUUAUGGUUCAAACAAUUUAUUGCCGUAGGAUGGGACUGCGGGCCUAUCAGCUUGUUGGUGAGGUAAUGGCCCACCAAGGCUAUAACAGGUACGGGCUCUGAGAGGAGAAGCCCGGAGAUGGGUACUGAGACACGGACCCAGGCCCUAUGGGGCGCAGCAGGCGAGAAACCUUAGCAAUGUGCGAAAGCACGACUAGGUUAAUCCGAGUGAUUUCUGUUGAAGAAAUCUUUUGUCAGUCGUAAAACCACAGACGAAUAAGGGGUGGGCAAGUCUGGUGUCAGCCGCCGCGGUAAUACCAGCACCUCGAGUGGUCAGGAGGUUUAUUGGGCCUAAAGCAUCCGUAGCCGGUUCCGUAGGUCUCCUGCAAAAUCCAGUCGCUCAACGAUUGGCGCGCAGGAGAUACCGCGGGACUAGGAGGCGGGAGAGGUGGACGGUACUCCACGUGUAGGGGUAAAAUCCUUUGAUCCGUGGAAGACCACCAGUGGCGAAGGCGGUUCACCAGAACGCGCUCGACGGUGAGGGAUGAAACGCUGGGGGAGCGAACCGGAUUAGAUACCCGGGUAGUCCCAGCCGUAAACGAUGCGAGCUAGAUGAUCCAGUCGCAAAUCGCGACUGGGGUGUCGCAGGGAAGCCGUUAAGCUCGCAACAUGGGGAGUACGGUCGCAAGACUGAAACUUAAGGCCCUAAAAAAG
rnacentral:rRNA from 1 species